rnacentral:rRNA from 1 species
GAUGAACGCUGGCGGCGUGCCUAAUACAUGCAAGUCGAGCGAACAGACGAGGAGCUUGCUCCUCUGACGUUAGCGGCGGACGGGUGAGUAACACGUGGAUAACCUACCUAUAAGACUGGGAUAACGUCGGGAAACCGGAGCUAAUACCGGAUAAUAUAUUGAACCGCAUGGUUCAAUAGUGAAAGACGGUUUUGCUGUCACUUAUAGAUGGAUCCGCGCCGCAUUAGCUAGUUGGUAAGGUAACGGCUUACCAAGGCGACGAUGCGUAGCCGACCUGGGAGGGUGAUCGGCCACACUGGAACUGAGACACGGUCCAGACUCCUACGGGAGGCAGCAGUAGGGAAUCUUCCGCAAAGGGCGAAAGCCUGACGGAGCAACGCCGCGUGAGUGAUGAAGGUCUUCGGAUCGUAAAACUCUGUUAUUAGGGAAGAACAAAUGUGUAAGUAACUAUGCACGUCUUGACGGUACCUAAUCAGAAAGCCACGGCUAACUACGUG